ACGUAGGAUCCGAGCGUUAUCCGAAUUUACUGGGCGUAAAGCGCGUGUAGGCGGUCAGGUAAGUUGGACGUGAAAGCUCCUGGCUCAACUAGGAGAGGUCGUUCAAAACUGCCUGGCUAGAGGGCGACAGAGGGAGGUGGAAUUCCCGGUGUAGUGGUGAAAUGCGUAGAUAUCGGGAGGAACACCAGUGGCGAAGGCGGCCUCCUGGGUCGCACCUGACGCUCAGACGCGAAAGCUAGGGGAGCGAACGGG
rnacentral:rRNA from 1 species